UUAUUAUUUACUUAUUUAUUUAGAGACAAGACCUCACUACGUAAUUUAGGCUGGCCUUGAACUCACUAUGUAGCCCAAGCUGGCCUGGAACUUGUGGCAAUCCUCCUGCUUCAGCCUCCUGAGUACUGGGAUUAUCAGCAUGUGCCACCAUGUACGCCUCUUAAUUUACCAUUUUAAAUGCCACCUUUCUCACCCCACUGUUAAAUGUGAGAGAAAGAGGGACAUUUUGCCCAAGUGAGGGCAGUCAGCCUAGGAAAUCCAUUCAGGGUCUUUAUGAGGAAUGAUGGCGGCGCCAGCUGCAUUUCAGGUCGGGUCUGGAGCACAGAGAAACUGAAGAAAAGCCACAGCAAUGGCGCACGUGUGUGUCUUGUCUUUGGUGGAGGAGGAAAGUAGGAUGCAGACGCUGAGCCUACAGGAGUGGGUGAGCGCUGGGAUUUCUUGGUGCAGUGUACAGGGGCUGGAGUGUGAGGUCCCAGGCACUUCUCAGCGUGGGAAAGGUCAGAGAGGGAGGCCGGAGCCAGCCAAAGUUGGGGCUCAGGAGGAAGUUGGUGGAUGCAAGAGUGGGUGGUGGGUGGAGAAAAGAAGGUGAAGGUGAGGGGGGGCCCUGAUGGUGGACAGGGACCAAAUGUCCAUCAGCACCGGCUCACCGACUCUGGGGCGGGAGAGGCUCGCGCUGCCCGCAGAGCCCGCCCGCCCUGCGGCAGCAGCUGCCCCGGAGCGCGGCCCGGGCGCUCACCGGCGAGUAGCCGACGCCGCAGGGGCAGGGGGCGCGAGGGGCACCGGCUCCCCGCGGCCUCUGCCGGGCCUGCCGACCCCGGGGAGCGCCUGCCCUGGUGGAGCCGCUGGACACCUUCGUGCUGCUUCCUUCCUGUCAGGCAAGGCUUCCUCGUAAAGUGACGACGCGGCAGCGCGAUCGCCUUCCACGUCGGGGCUCCCCGCUCGCGGACUCGCACAGCCUCGGGCUGAGGGCGUGUGAGAAAACUGCCUCUUACUCCCCACGCAGCGCGGAGACCUGAGGGGAAAGCGGCCCUCACCCCGCUGCUGUGCUCCUCCCGCAGGGUCCAUCACAACCCGAACCCGAAGGGCCUGCCGGCCUCGCGCUCACUGCGGUGCGAGGUGGGAGCCGCCGGGCCAGUGGGCGCGGGUCCGGGUGAGCGGGCUGCAGACUGCGUCCUCGGCUUGGAGCCCGCGCCUGUCCGGGGCCGAGCGUCCCGUGCGACGGCCCUGACUGCUCGCUGGGGCCAGGUGAGCGGAAAGAAAAAGCACAGGCCCCGCUGGAACUCGAACCCAGGAUCUCCUGUUUACAAGACAGGCGCUUUAACCAGCUAAGCCACGGAGCCUGCCCCAGGAACUGCGGAAGGGCGCCGAUGCUUCCUCUGGCGCCGCUCGGGCCGCGCCGUCUCCAGGGCCCGGAGCGGCUCCGCGGGAGCCCGGUGCUCGGUCCCCUGUGCCCGGUGCUCGGUGCUCCGUGCUCGGUGCCAGGUUCAGGAGCCCGGAGCGCUGGGCUGUAGGAGCCGAGGCCGCCACCGCCUGCCAACGCGGCGCCGCCUCCUGAACACGCUUCCUGCCCGCCUGGCCUUGCGGAGGCCCCGGGUCUCCGACCCUGCUGCCCCGGGGUGCGCCCGGCCACCGGUCCGGUUACCUGGGUCUCCGGGCUGGGAAAGAAGGGAACACGUGUAGGGCCGAGGACAGGCAACGUCCAGGGUCCUCUGGAUUCUCAGCCUCGAGCCCCAAAUGCAUUCUUCGCGCAGGUGAUUGCAGAGCCGAGGGCGACCUCUCCUUCCGUGCCACCCGGGGAGGAGGAGACGUCCGUCCCGAGAGCUCACAGCCCAGGCGGGUCUACGGCCCGUGCCUCCGAUGUCAUGGUGAGAUCCAAACUGGUUACAGGCAGGGACUGCGAACUUUCAGAGACUGAUGAAAUAAGCACGUGUUACAAGAACAUUCAUACGGUUUGGUAAUCUAUUUGAAGCCAAUAACGGCUGCUUUAUAAACGGAACUGUAAACACUACAGAUGCUACAUUAUCAAACCUGAACUUCGGACCAAUGGCAGACUUCGGUGAAUGACCUCUGGAUUUUACCACGGAGACCAGGAGCGAUGCUGAGGCCCGACGGGGACGCCAGGAACUGGAAAAUUAAUGUUGAAGGCUCCAUUUGUAGUCACUGCCACAAAACAAAGUUCAAAUGUGGGGAAGAUGCGGGUGGAGAUCUGCCGGUCUGAGGAAGGAAACGUUUCCAGUCGGUAGACAGAUGCAUUGCCCAAAACUCGGCGCUGGGCUAACUGGACCUCUUCCAGGGAAAUAAAAGCAUAGCUCAGCAUGCCACCUAUGAUACUAAAAUAAAUUCCAAGUGGGCACAAACUCUGAAGGUAAAG
rnacentral:tRNA from 1 species